GCGGGCGGGCGGCCAGGCGAUGGUUGCUCUGAUCCCGUCGGGAGUGACUGGCUGGCGUGGGAGGGAGAGGCAGGCAGGCAGGCGGGGACUCCGGAUACGUGACGAGGGGUUUGGGUUUUUUUCUCCUUUUUUGUCACGGUCACUUGAGCGAAGGGCGGGAGGCGGCGGGUUUAUCCUCCGCUCGGGCAGUUUUGCUUUCUCCGGCGCCGCGGAUGCCGCCCGCGAGCGUCACACCCCUCGAGCUGUACAAAAGCUUAUCGUGUGUAGAUAGGCGAUUGUGCGGCGUUUUCCUUCUACCCCCGGAUGAACUAAUCCGGCAUAAUUGCUAUAGUGCCACCCCCGUGGCUAUGACGGCAAAGUUUAGUAACCUUUCCGAGAUAAUCCGCGGGAAGCUGUUAGUUUUUUGCUGAAAAGAUGAAGAAUCAGCAGAACAAUCCCAUGCAGUUGGGUGGGACUUCGUAAUCUUAUAUUUCAAACAACAUGCCUUCCCUGCACCUAAAAAAGAAAUAUGGUCCUCCUAAAUUAUGUGUUUAAUAAAUAUAGGUAGAAUUAUACUUAUUAUUG